GAUGAACGCUGGCGGCGUGCCUAAUACAUGCAAGUCGAGCGAACGGACGAGAAGCUUGCUUCUCUGAUGUUAGCGGCGGACGGGUGAGUAACACGUGGAUAACCUACCUAUAAGACUGGGAUAACUUCGGGAAACCGGAGCUAAUACCGGAUGAUAUUUUGAACCGCAUGGUUCAAAAGUGAAAGACGGUCUUGCUGUCACUUAUAGAUGGAUCCGCGCUGCAUUAGCUAGUUGGUAAGGUAACGGCUUACCAAGGCAACGAUGCAUAGCCGACCUGAGAGGGUGAUCGGCCACACUGGAACUGAGACACGGCCCAGACUCCUACGGGAGGCAGCAGUAGGGAAUCUUCCGCAAUGGGCGAAAGCCUGACGGAGCAACGCCGCGUGAGUGAUGAAGGUCUUCGGAUCGUAAAACUCUGUUAUUAGGGAAGAACAUAUGUGUAAGUAACUGUGCACAUCUUGACGGUACCGAAUCAGAAAGCCACGGCUAACUACGU
rnacentral:rRNA from 1 species